rnacentral:tRNA from 1 species
UCCCUGGUGGCCUAGUGGUUAGGAUUCUGGGUGUUCACUGUUGUGACCCAGGUUCAAACCCUGGCUGGGGAA